rnacentral:ncRNA from 3 species
CCAAGCGUUCAUAGCGAC